UACCAGCACCCCGAGUGGUCGGGACGUUUAUUGGGCCUAAAGCAUCCGUAGCCGGUUCUACAAGUCUUCCGUUAAAUCCACCUGCUUAACAGAUGGGCUGCGGAAGAUACUAUAGAGCUAGGAGGCGGGAGAGGCAAGCGGUACUCGAUGGGUAGGGGUAAAAUCCGUUGAUCCAUUGAAGACCACCAGUGGCGAAGGCGGGUCUCUGGGCCGAUACUGACGCUGAGGAGCGAAAGCGUGGGGAGCGAACAGG
rnacentral:rRNA from 1 species